AUCUCUUCGGGUGCUAAUCAAAUGGCCGCUGUGCGGGAUCCCCACAAAGCCACGAAGAAGCCAGGCUUUUCCGAGACUGUAACCGCUGUGCAGAUAGCCCCAAUCCCUGGGCUGGCGUGCAGCAGCACCAUCAUGGCUCACUGCAACCUUGAAGUGCCAGGCUCAGGUGAUCCACGUCAGCAUUUCGAGUAGCUUAAACUACAGGUGCAUGUCUCUCAACAUCAUCAAAAGAAGGUCUUGAGCAUUGAAAGAAGGCAGCAAAGGAGCACCAGGAGAAACUUUCCCUGUUGUUGUGGAGGAAUUUAUGUGUCCUGGUGGAGUUGGCCUGAUGGAGGAAUCUGGUUCACAUGAGGCACAGAUCUUGGAUCCCUGAGCCGUCCCAGCCUAAUGCUCCGCUGUCUUGGUAUCAGGGAUCCUAGUACUUCCCAUGCCUCAGCCAAAUUUUCCUUUUGGAAUAUGAGGGACAUAGAGAUACUUUUUAAAAAGCUGAAACUUAAGUUCUUCCUAAAUCCUUAUUUCUCUGAGGUACGGAUUUUAUUUGCUUAAGUUAUCAAAGUUUUUCUCAGCCAAUAGACCUCUCAACCAACUAUCAAGAACAUUUUUUCCCUCAUGAUAAUUUAUAAGACCGAAUGGCUUUUUCUGAUUUUUCUAGAAGAAUUUUAAUUUGGGCUGGGUGUAGUAGCUCACACCUAUAAUCCUAACACUUUGG